GACGAACGCUGGCGGCGUGCUUAACACAUGCAAGUCGAACGGAAAGGCCCUGCUUUUGUGGGGUGCUCGAGUGGCGAACGGGUGAGUAACACGUGAGUAACCUGCCCUUGACUUUGGGAUAACUUCAGGAAACUGGGGCUAAUACCGGAUAGGAGCUCCCGCUGCAUGGUGGGGGUUGGAAAGUUUCGGCGGUUGGGGAUGGACUCGCGGCUUAUCAGCUUGUUGGUGGGGGAGUGGCUUACCAAGGCUUUGACGGGUAGCCGGCCUGAGAGGGUGACCGGCCACAUUGGGACUGAGAUACGGCCCAGACUCCUACGGGAGGCAGCAGUGGGGAAUAUUGCACAAUGGGCGGAAGCCUGAUGCAGCAACGCCGCGUGCGGGAUGACGGCCUUCGGGUUGUAAACCGCUUUCGCCUGUGACGAAGCGUGAGUGACGGUAAUGGGUAAAGAAGCACCGGCUAACUACGUG
rnacentral:rRNA from 1 species